CNUGCUNACUAGUCAUACCAAUGCNUAGCCUUGGUGUUNGGUUCUUAGAGGGACUUUCGGUGACUAAUCGAAGGNAGUUGGGGGCAAUAACAGGUCUGUGAUGCCCUUAGAUGUCCUGGGCCGCACGCGCGCUACACUGACACAUGCAGCGAGUCAUCCNGUCCGAAAGGUCUGGGUAAUCUUGUAAAUNGUGUGUCGUGAUAGGGAUAGAUUAUUGCAAUUAUUAAUCAUGAACGAGGAAU
rnacentral:rRNA from 1 species